rnacentral:rRNA from 1 species
GGCAGAGGCCUCGAGCGUUAGGCGGAAUCACUGGGCUUAAAGCGUGUGUAGGCGGAUGCCUAAGUACCUUGUGAAAUCCCACGGCUCACCCGUGGAACCGCUGGGUAUACUGGCGGUCUUGAGCCACCUAGGGGCAACUGGAACAAGCGGUGGAGCGGUGAAAUGCGUAGAUAUCGCUUGGAACGCCAACGGUGAAAACAGGUUGCUGGGGGUGUGCUGACGCUGAGACACGAAAGCCAGGGGAGCGAACGGG